rnacentral:rRNA from 1 species
AGAGUUUGAUCCUGGCUCAGGAUAAACGCUAUCUGUGUGCUUAAUACAUGCAUGUUGAGCGGAAUAUGUUAGCUUGCUAAUAUAUUUAGUAGCAAAUGGGUGAGUAACACGUACCUAACCUACCUUUUGAACCGGGAUAACUAUUGGAAACAGCAGCUAAUACCGGAUAAAAUAAAAAAAUGCAUGUUUUUUUAUUAAAAGGAGCCUUUAAAGCUCCACCAAAAAAUGGGGGUGCGCAACAUUAGUUAGUUGGUAGGGUAAAGGCCCACCAAGACGAUGAUGUUUAGCGGGGCCAAGAGGCUGUACCGCCACACUGGGAUUGAGAUACGGCCCAGACUCCUACGGGAGGCAGCAGUAAGGAAUAUUCCACAAUGAGCGAAAGCUUGAUGGAGCAACACAGAGUGCAGGAUGAAGUCUUUAGGGAUGUAAACUGCUGUUGUAGGGAAGAAAAAACUAGAUAGGAAAUGAUUUAGUCUUGACGGUACCUUAUUAGAAAGUGACGGCAAACUAUGUGCCAGCAGCCGCGGUAAUACAUAGGUCGCAAGCGUUAUCCGGAAUUAUUGGGCGUAAAGCGUCCGCAGGUUUUUUGUUAAGUUUAAGGUUAAAUGCUAAAGCUCAACUUUAGUUCGCUUUAGAUACUGACAAAAUAGAAUUAUGAAGAGGUUAGCGGAAUUCCUAGUGGAGCGGUGGAAUGCGUAGAUAUUAGGAAGAACACCAAUAGGCGAAGGCAGCUAACUGGUCAUAUAUUGACACUAAUGGACGAAAGCGUGGGGAGCAAACAGGAUUAGAUACCCUGGUAGUCCACGCCGUAAACGAUGAUCAUUAGUUGGUGGCAAAAGUCACUAGCACAGCUAACGCGUUAAAUGAUCCGCCUGAGUAGUAUGCUCGCAAGAGUGAAACUUAAAGGAAUUGACGG